UACGUAGGGUGCAAGCGUUUAAUCGGAAUACUGGGCGUAAAGCGUGCGCAGGCGGUGAUGUAAGACAGUUGUGAAAUCCCCGGGCUCAACCUGGGAACUGCAUCUGUGACUGCAUCGCUGGAGUGCGGCAGAGGGGGAUGGAAUUCCGCGUGUAGCAGUGAAAUGCGUAGAUAUGCGGAGGAACACCGAUGGCGAAGGCAAUCCCCUGGGCCUGCACUGACGCUCUGUGCACGAAAGCGUGGGGAGCAAACAGG
rnacentral:rRNA from 1 species